GUGGAAAACAUAUAGUGAAGUGAAAAGUAAUAAAAUUAGCCUUUUCAGUGAUAUAAUCGGUGAAUGGCUUCAUUCACGGCGGGUUGCUGGGCUAUUUGGCAGCAAUCUUUACUGCGAAAGAUUGCCCAAUAGCGAACCCAUAACGGUUCCGGGACACCGUGAUAAUCAUCUUGCCUCUGCAAGAUGCAAUCAGAUUUGGCCAAUUAAUGCAAAUUGGGCGAUCCCCUCCCAACAGCUCCACAGGUGGAGUGAGAUGAGGGCAAAUUGAUUUAACCCCUCGCCUCCCGCUCCGAUCCUGCCAGUGUUGGUAUGGAUCCCCGUAAUAAAUUAGGUGUUCAUCCUUUCGGCGGUGAUUGCACCAAGUGACUGGGGGCAAAAAGUAAUCCCGCACAGCACCGGAACUGGGCAAUCUGCCAUAGGUAAGAGUGGAAAUUGAAAUAAAUGAG